rnacentral:sRNA from 1 species
UCUCUGUCUGUGCGGCUGACCAGUUAGCGACAUGGUGGCACCCGUGCUGGAGACUUCUCACGUGUUUUGCUGCCCAAACCGGGUGCGGGGAGUCCUGAACUGGAGCUCUGGGCCCAGAGGACUUCUGGCCUUUGGCACGUCCUGCUCCGUGGUGCUCUAUGACCCCCUGAAAAGGGUUGUUGUUACCAACUUGAAUGGUCACACCGCCCGAGUCAAUUGCAUACAGUGGAUUUGUAAACAGGAUGGCUCCCCUUCUACUGAAUUAGUUUCUGGAGGAUCUGAUAAUCAAGUGAUUCACUGGGAAAUAGAGGAUAAUCAGCUUUUAAAAGCAGUCCAUCUUCAAGGCCAUGAAGGACCUGUUUAUGCGGUGCAUGCUGUUUACCAGAGGAGGACAUCAGAUCCUGCUUUAUGUACACUGAUCGUUUCUGCAGCUGCAGAUUCUGCUGUUCGACUCUGGUCUAAAAAGGGUUCAGAAGGUAGGUUUGGAGACAUGAUAAUCCAGACAAACGAAAUAAUAUUUAACAAAUGAAUGAUGAGUAGAAGAGCAUAUAUAUAAUUCUUUACAACUUUCGAGCAACUUUAAAAAUACUAUAAUUGUAAUCUAAAUUUUUCUUUUGCACUUAUUUAAAAUUCUCUAUACCAAGAUUUUUUCAUGUAAGUCGUUUUGCUCUCUGUAACAUCGUUAAAAUUU